UGUCUCUCAGUAAAUACAAAGCAAAUCCAAAACCCUAGGGGAGCGGAGAACGGUCAAGAAUCGCAGCAAGCAAUGUCGAUGUCGAAGAGCUCCAAGAUGCUUCAAUUCAUCAACUACCGGAUGCGGGUCACAAUCCAAGACGGGCGCCAGCUCGUCGGCAAGUUCAUGGCCUUCGACCGCCACAUGAACCUCGUCCUCGGCGACUGCGAGGAGUUCCGCAAGCUCCCCCCGGCGAAAGGCAAGAAGACCAACGAAGAACGCGACGACCGCCGCACUCUAGGGAUGGUCCUCCUCCGCGGCGAAGAGGUCGUCUCCAUGACCGUCGAGGGUCCGCCUCCUCAGGAAGAGUCCAGAGCCAAAGCCUCCAGCGCCGCCGCCAUGGCCGGGCCUGGAAUCGGCCGCGGCGCCGGGCGAGGCGUGGUGGCGCCACUCGCGCAGGCUCAGCCGGGUCUCUCCGGUCCGGUUCGCGGUGUCGGUGGGCCUGCUCCGGGAAUGAUGCAGCCUCAGAUUUCUCGCCCGCCGAUGCCGAAUCUGUCUGCUCCGCCGAUGAACUAUCCGUCUGCGCCGGUGCUCAGGCCACCUGGCCAGAUGGCUGGAUAUCCACCAGGGCAGGGGCCGCCGCAGAUGGCCAGGGGACCGCCGCCGUCGAUGCCUCCUCCACAGUUUACUCGGCCCGGCGGUCCACCUCAGUUUCCAGGCCCUCCACCAAUGCAGUUUGCUCAGAGACCAAUGGGGCCUCCUGGCCAGAUGAUGAGGGGUCCACCGCCUCCGCCACGGCCUGGAAUGCAAGGUCCACCACCUCGUCCUGGGAUGCCUCCUCCACCUGGUGGUGUUCCUUUGUAUGGACAGCCUCGUGGCAUGCCGCCUCCACCCAACUCUCAGAACCAGCAACAGUGAUUUGAAGUUUUACAAAUUGCUCUUGCUAAAUAGGAUGUGGAUUGGUCAAAUCUCUGUAUAAGGGUGCUGCUCUUCUGAGGCUGUAGUUCUUUGGUGUGUUCUAUAUUGGUUAUGAGAAAGGAUAUGCACAAAUUGUUCGAGGAACAACCUGAUUUACUCAAUGUACUGGCAUGAACAGGUUAUGAUCGGAGGGUUUCCAAGUGGUGUUGAAUGCCUGAUAUUUUGAACCUAAAUUCAGUUCCUUUAAAUGAGUAUGAGCAUGUCUGAAUAGAGAGUACUUUUGGCGUUAAAUACAACUAUGUAGCAGAACAUUGAACUAGUUAUUUGUACAACCUGAUGAUGAUGUUGAUUAGAAUUUGGUUUGUCCUUUA